CAGCUUUGCAGCGGCAAGAGCCAGCAGCACAAGCGUGCCUGCUGCCGCGGCUGCGGCGCCGACCCCCGGCCCUGGCGCUAUCUUUGCUAGAUCGUGCACACGCAACGGGCCCUCAACACCAGAAGCUGAACGGAAACGGUGGGCACGCGCGAACGAGGCACCUGAGAAGCGUGCAGAACGCUUGAAGAAAGAUGCGAAGCGCAAGCGCCAGAAACGGGCUGCGCAAUCUAAGAAGGCGGUGAAGUAGCAAAGGUAAGAUAGAUGUACAGGGGUAGGUGGUGGUUAUUUUAUGAACCAUGAUUAAGUUCCAUGUUGAAGCACCGUGGAUGAGGGCAUCAUAUGGCUGUGUGCACGUUAUUUGACAUGGUCAGGUUGCGACAUGUCGACAUGUGGAUUGCGACAUACGACAUACCGACAUACCAAGACUGGCCCACAUUUGCAUAGCUACGCGUCCUGGAGCCCAUUUAAGUAACAUCUCCCAGCUUUGCGGCGGUGUAUUGCGCUAGCGUAGCCACAAGCUGCGAGAACGCAAGAAUGGCAACUGCCUUUGCGCACUGGUAGUUGUGGCGUGGCCAGUCUGGCUACGCCAUGGCAUGGGUCCGUAACGAUGUUGGACACGCCGAACGUUUACUUAUGAUCGCCGAUACCGAUGGUGCCUAGACAUUUGCGCCUGUACUGAUUUGCAUUUAUGUUCAUGUGCAUCGUGUGUCACAUUCACAUGUUACACAUGCAUGUCCGCUCACACGCCCAAGCGCUACCGCACACGCCCAGACUAGGGAAUGCGCAUCAGCAAACUUCCAGCCAGCCAGCAACUUGUCGGUACAGUAACUCCGGCGUUCGACCAGCCAUGCACUCCUGCUCUGCCGCUGCAAACUGUUUGCUGUCUGCUUGGGGUACGGGCGUCAGCUGCACCCUAAGGGACCUCGCCAACCUGCCUGAACCCUGUCCCAUCACACGCCCAGACUAGGGCCAGGGGUGGCGGGGGAAGGGUAUCAGCGCCGGCCAGUGCGCGGGGGGCAAGCUCACACGCCCACGGGCUGGAAG
rnacentral:lncRNA from 1 species